GAUGAACGCUGGCGGCGUGCCUAAUACAUGCAAGUCGAGCGAACAGACGAGGAGCUUGCUCCUCUGACGUUAGCGGCGGACGGGUGAGUAACACGUGGAUAACCUACCUAUAAGACUGGGAUAACUUCGGGAAACCGGGGCUAAUACCGGAUAAUAUAUUGAACCGCAUGGUUCAAUAGUGAAAGACGGUUUUGCUGUCACUUAUAGAUGGAUCCGCGCCGCAUUAGCUAGUUGGUAAGGUAACGGCUUACCAAGGCAACGAUGCGUAGCCGACCUGAGAGGGUGAUCGGACACACUGGAACUGAGACACGGUCCAGACUCCUACGGGAGGCAGCAGUAGGGAAUCUUCCGCAAUGGGCGAAAGCCUGACGGAGCAACGCCGCGUGAGUGAUGAAGGUCUUCGGAUCGUAAAACUCUGUUAUUAGGGAAGAACAAAUGUGUAAGUAACUAUGCACGUCUUGACGGUACCUAAUCAGAAAGCCACGGCUAACUACGUG
rnacentral:rRNA from 1 species